CCUACGGGGCGCAGCAGUGAGGAAUAUUGGUCAAUGGACGCAAGUCUGAACCAGCCAUGCCGCGUGCAGGAAGACGGCUCUAUGAGUUGUAAACUGCUUUUGUACGAGGGUAAACGCAGAUACGCGUAUCUGUCUGAAAGUAUCGUACGAAUAAGGAUCGGCUAACUCCGUGCUAGCAGCCGCGGUAAUACGGAGGAUUCAAGCGUUAUCUGGAUUUAUUGGGUUUAAAGGGUGCGUAGGCGGUCGGAUAAGUUAGAGGUGAAAUCCCGAGGCUCAACUUCGGAAUUGCCUCUGAUACGGUGCGGCUAGAGAGUAGUUGCGGUAGGCGGAAUGUAUGGUGUAGCGGUGAAAUGCUUAGAGAUCAUACAGAACACCGAUUGCGAAGGCAGCUUACCAAGCUACUUCUGACGUUGAGGCACGAAAGCGUGGGGAGCAAACAGGAUUAGAUACCCGAGUAGUC
rnacentral:rRNA from 1 species